rnacentral:rRNA from 1 species
UGGGGAAUAUUGCACAAUGGGCGAAAGCCUGAUGCAGCGACGCCGCGUGAGGGAUGGAGGCCUUCGGGUUGUAAACCUCUUUCAGUAGGGACGAAGCGUAAGUGACGGUACCUGCAGAAGAAGCACCGGCUAACUACGUGCCAGCAGCCGCGGUAAUACGUAGGGUGCGAGCGUUGUCCGGAAUUACUGGGCGUAAAGAGCUCGUAGGCGGUUUGUCACGUCGUCUGUGAAAUCCUAGGGCUUAACCCUGGACGUGCAGGCGAUACGGGCUGACUUGAGUACUACAGGGGAGACUGGAAUUUCUGGUGUAGCGGUGGAAUGCACAGAUAUCAGGAAGAACACCGAUGGCGAAGGCAGGUCUCUGGGUAGUAACUGACGCUGAGGAGCGAAAGCAUGGGUAGCGAACAGG